rnacentral:rRNA from 1 species
GACGAACGCUAGCGGAAGGCAUAAUACAUGCAAGUCGAACGGAUGUAGCAAUACAUUAGUGGCGCACGGGUGCGUAACGCGUAUGCAACCUACCUUCAUCAGGGGGAUAACUACCCGAAAGGGUGGCUAACACCGCAUAAUACUAUUGAGUGGCAUCACUUGAUAUUUAAAUCUGAGGAGGAUGAAGAUGGGCAUGCGUCUGAUUAGCUAGUUGGUGUGGUAACGGCGCACCAAGGCGACGAUCAGUAGGGGAACUGAGAGGUUGGUCCCCCACCCUGACACUGAGAUACGGGCCAGACUCCUACGGGAGGCAGCAGUAGGGAAUAUUGGUCAAUGGUGGGAACACUGAACCAGCCAUUCCGCGUGCAGGAUGACGGCCCUCUGGGUUGUAAACUGCUUUUAUACGGGAAGAAAAAGUACUACGUGUAGUAUACUGACGGUACCGUAAGAAUAAGGAUCGGCUAACUACGUGCCAGCCGCCGCUGUAAUAC